GCAGUGCGAUAGUGUACUUUUUGAGAGAUAUCAUUUUUCUCAUGACUCGUGAGGAUGUCGUUUACAUCAUUAAUUUGUUGGAAACGCAUAAAUGUUCGACUCGUCGGAGUCGGGCUUUAAUAACAGUGCAGGCAAGUUACUAUUGCGAUUCUUAUCCAGAUUAGUAAUAUUAUAUCAAAUUUUAAAAAGGCAGUUGACUGACUAAAAUCUCUUAGAAAGUCUGUGAUAUGUUCCAUAUCACAAAUAUGGCCAGGAUCUGUGCAUGACUCAAGAAUUUUCAGAGAUUUAUGCACAUUAUUUGAACGUGGUGAUUACAACAGGAUCCUGCUUGGAGACAGGUGUUUUAUGAUCCCAUUCCCUGACCCAAACCCCAGACCAGUUACAAUGCAGCUCUAGCCAGGACAAGGGCACACAAUGAAGUGAACUUUAGCCAACUAAAGUAUCUGAAAAGUCUGAGGGUUGCACCUGACAGGGCCUGUGACAUUGCAUGGGCCAUAUUACACAACAUUGCACCAUCAGAAAAAAUAUAAAACAUUUCAUUAAUGUUUAAUAAAAGACAAGACAAAUAUG